UACGUAGGGUGCGAGCGUUAAUCGGAAUUACUGGGCGUAAAGCGUGCGCAGGCGGUCUUGCAAGACAGGUGUGAAAUCCCCGGGCUUAACCCUGGGAACUGCACUUGUGACUGCAAGGCUGGAGUGCGGCAGAGGGGGAUGGAAUUCCGCGGUGUAGCAGUGGAAAUGCGUAGAUAUGCGGAGGAACACCGAUGGCGAAGGCAAUCCCCUGGGCCUGCACUGACGCUCCAUGCAC
rnacentral:rRNA from 1 species